UACGUAGGGUCCGAGCGUUGUCCGGAAUUAUUGGGCGUAAAGAGCUCGUAGGCGGUUUGUCGCGUCUGCUGUGAAAUCCCGAGGCUCAACCUCGGGCCUGCAGUGGGUACGGGCAGACUGGAGUGCGGUAGGGGAGAAUGGAAUUCCUGGUGUAGCGGUGGAAUGCGCAGAUAUCAGGAGGAACACCGAUGGCGAAGGCAGUUCUCUGGGCCGUAACUGACGCUGAGGCGCGAAAGCCAGGGGAGCAAACGGG
rnacentral:rRNA from 1 species